CGUAAGGGUGUGAUAGGCCGCCUUAUUUAAGAGAGUAAAUGGAAUUUUUCUGUAAUGGUGGUAUGUGUAAAUAGGAAAAAGAACUUUAGACGUGAAGACUAUUUACUUCUAAGAUUAUAAUGUGUUGGCUAAAACACGAGAGUGUGGGGAGCAAACAGGAUUAGGUACCCUGGUAGUCCAUACUGUAAAUAAUGAAAAAGAUGUGAAGCAAUUCUAAAAGGUAAGAACUUUUCCGCUUGAGUAGUACGAUCGCAAGAUUAAAAUUCAAAAAACUUGGCUGUUCACUGUUUUGAUUAGAGGAGCGUGUCGUUUAAUUCGAUAGUCCGCGAGAGACCUUACCCAAACUUGAAUCCCUCAUUGACAGGUAUUGCAUGGCCGUCGUCAAUUUGUGUAUUAAACAUAAAACAAAUUCAACCCAGUGGUUUGUCUAUUGGAUGAAGUCAGGUCUUAUUGUCCUAAUGUUUGGGGAUUAGAUGCGCUACAUUUUUUUAUACAAUGGGAAACUUUGAAUGUGAAACCCAAAAAUAAGAGUUCGGAAGGUGUCUGGAAUAUAACGGAAAGUUGGAUUUAAUAGUAAUUGAAAAGUAGAGCGUUUCAAUGAAAUUUAUUCAGUGUUAGUACAAAUUGCCCGUCGCCUUUGCUUAGAAAGGUUGUUUGGUUGCCCCUCAAGAGGGUUCCUAAUAUCUUCGAGGUAGAGUAAGUCGUA
rnacentral:rRNA from 2 species